AGUGAACGAUGUAUGGGGAAUCGAGACUAGUUUUUCUCCUCGGACGAGGUUUUUCUCAGCUACUAAAUGGGCUCCUGAUCAUCACCCUAAUUUGGUUUGUAAUGGAUGGGUGAGGGUGGAUUAAUUUGAAUGUUUAAAUAAAACAAAACAUUGUGAUGGUCCCUGCGGAUGCUAACACAAUGUGAUUUAUGCCCAGUGCUCUGCAUGUCAAAGUGAAGAAAUUCAACCAAGCAUGGGUAAAUGAUGGGAGUAACCAUGACUCUCUUAAGGUAUCCAUAUGCCUCGUCAUAUAAUUAGUGACACACCUGAAUGGAUUAAUGAUAUUCCCAUUGUCCCAGGAUACUAUCUAGAGAAACCACAACCAAGGGAAUGAUCUUGGAAAAAUUAGCAGGGAAAGAACACCCUGUUGAGCUUGACUCUAUUCCAACUUUGUGAAAUGACUUGAGAGGUGUAGAAUAACUAGGAGUUGUUUUCAACGCAAGUGAAAUACCAGUAAUUUUAACGUUAUUUUACUUAUUUUGUGGGGCAGACACGAGGCAUUGCACAUAUAUUAAAAUUUAAUGCACAUUUCCUCAAAGUGUUGUCAUUGAUAGCAAUGGUCGAAAGAUCAUUCUUCACAAAAUUGAUGGCAAUGAUUUUAGGAAACCAAAUAUUAUCAUUACUUUUAAGGAUGAAGAAAGUUCCUAUAACAAUCCCUGUGUUUUUAGCCAACAUCCCCCUAUAAUUAUAUAUGUUAUGGUUCCUCAUAAAUUGGUGACUUGAGUCCUCAUAGACUUAUACGUGAGUGGCUUAUGAUGACAAAUUAUUUGGCCCUUGAUAGCAAUUUAUUUUCCAUUAUGUGAGUGUGUCCAUCCUCAAGCUAUAGACACAUCGAAGCCAUGGAGUCCCAAUGAUUUUUAAUCAUUGCAAGAUAUAACCAUGCAAGAAUAAUUUUGGGGUAUUACCAUAAUCAAUUCAUCUUUGUAAACCACUUUUUGCUCAAAUGGACAUUAAUGGUCAAUUGGGAAUUUUUAUUUGAUUUGGAUGAGUAUAUUCCCAAUUGUUCUACAUAUUUCCCACACCAAUGUUUAAAUGUAUCUAUUGACAUGCUUGUGUUUUGGUGCACUUUUUCUCACAAAAAUGUGUGGGGCUAGGUGCAAGCACUACUACAUUUGUACCCAAAAUCUGACACAUUAAAUGGAAAACAUAUUGAACUCAUGAACCAUAUAUUCCCUAUUUAGGGCAUGUGUGAUGGCCUAAGGGACCACAUAUGUCCAUGAGAUUUUAGAGACAAAUUUUAUGAACUUAGAA
rfam:Picea glauca, whole genome shotgun sequence.